CCUACGGGAGGCAGCAGUGGGGGAUAUUGGACAAUGGGGGAAACCCUGAUCCAGCGACGCCGCGUGAGUGAAGAAGUAUUUCGGUAUGUAAAGCUCUAUCAGCAGGGAAGAAAGAAAUGACGGUACCUGAGUAAGAAGCCCCGGCUAACUACGUGCCAGCAGCCGCGGUAAUCCGUAGGGGGCAAGCGUUAUCCGGAAUUACUGGGUGUAAGGGGAGCGUAGACGGUAAUGCAAGUCUGGAGUGAAAGGCGGGGGCCCAACCCCCGGACUGCUCGGGAAACUGUGUAACUGGAGUGCAGGAGAGGCAGGCGGAAUUCCUAGUGUAGCGGUGAAAUGCGUAGAUAUUAGGAGGAACACCAGUGGCGAAGGCGGCCUGCUGGACUGUAACUGACGUUGAGGCUCGAAAGCGUGGGGAGCAAACAGGAUUAGAUACCCGGGUAGUC
rnacentral:rRNA from 1 species